GGCUCAGUGGUUUAGUGGGAUAAUUCAUCUUUCGGGAGAAAUCUCUGGUUUCACAAUUACCAAAUAUAGAUGAGGUCCCGGGUUCGAUUCCCGGCUGAGCCC